GACGAACGCUGGCGGCGUGCUUAACACAUGCAAGUCGAACGGAAAGGCCCUGCUUUUGUGGGGUUCUCGAGUGGCAAACGUGUGUGUAACACGUGUGUAACCUGCUCUUGACUUUGGUAUAACUUCAGGAAACUGGGUCUUAUACCGGAUAGGCUCUCCUGCUGCAUGGUGGGUGUUGGAAUGUUUCGGCGUGUGGGGAUGGACUCGCGGCUUCUCAGCUUGUUGGUGGGGUAGUGGCUUACCAAGGCUUGGGCGGGUCGCCGGCCUGAGAGGGUGACCGGCCACAUUGGGACUGGGAUAGGGCCCAGACUCCUACGGGAGGCAGCAGUGGGAAAUGUUGCACAAUGGGCGGAGGCUUGAGGCACCAAGGCCGCGGGCGGGAUGACGGCCUUCGGGUUGUAAACCGCUUUGGCCAGUGACGAGGCGUGAGUGACGGUAAUGGGUAAAGAAGCACCGGCUAACUACGUG
rnacentral:rRNA from 1 species